rnacentral:lncRNA from 1 species
GGACCAAGUCAAAACGCGUAAAGGCGGUGGAUAUAUAAAAAGAAAAGAAGCACGUUCGUAACUUCCGUCUAGUUCCUAAAAAUCUUAACUUGGAAGAUAGAACUUAGAAGAGAAGAGAAGAGAUUUGAUUCGUUUCUUCGCUUCGGUAAGACUUAAUUGAAAACUUUCAAUCCUUGUUAUCGUUUGGAUUAUCGAUCGAUUUAUAGGGUUUUUGUUUUCUCUCGUAAUCCUCAGAUUUCAAUCCAAUCAAUUAAUCAAUUCGAUUUGUAGUCUAGGGUUUCUUUGUUCUCGCAGAUCACGAAGUGGAAGAAGACAGGUUUGUUUUGUUUUGUUUUGUUUGAUCUCGAUUUUAUUAUUACAGUAUAUUUGAUUUGAUUUCGUUCGUGUUUUUCAAUUUUUGAGAUUUGUUAGGGUUAGGGUUUUUUUACGAUUUAUUUCAAUCUUCGGUUGUGAAUUUGUGAUUAUGGCGGCAGGAUUAGUUGGGGGUUAUCGUCGUAAUGAAUUUAGAGAUGGAGAAUUAAGGAGAAGAGAUGAUUUUUACUACUCUAAGAAACAACAUGACCAUCUUGUUAAUGGCCGAGGAUUCGAAAAGAAGAAAGAAGCGUCUGGAAGGGAUAGAUAUCAGAUUAAUAGGCAGGAGACUAGGUAUAGUAGAAAGAGGGAACAAGUAGAUGAUAGGUGUUAUUCAAAAUCUGGUAGCAGUGGUGGUGGUGGUGGUAGUAGUGGAGGUCGGUACAGCAAUGAGAAAACUGACCGAGAAUUGGGGGAGUUGUCAAGUGGAAGUGAUUCAGAUUGUUUAAUUGCUGGUUCUGCAUCCCUAGUUAAUGGUAGAGAAGUUUCAGUGUGUGAUGUUGAGGUUCAAUUGCCUCCCAGAAAGAAACAGGUCGCAGCUGGGGCGCAUGCCUCUCGACCAUCAAUCCGUUUGUCCGUCGCCCGCAUGCCUCGGCCAACCUGCACCGAGUGUUCGUUUUUGCGGGGAAACAGACAAAAAGAUUGAUGGGAGAGGCGGCCUGGUUUCCGCCCCCAGCCAUCCCCCUCGCUGGAACAUGUGAUUACUAAAAAGUUCAGCAAUAACCUAAAAUUACC